AUUGAACGCUGGCGGCAGGCCUAACACAUGCAAGUCGAACGAGUGGCGGACGGGUGAGUAAUGUCUGGGAAACUGCCCGAUGGAGGGGGAUAACUACUGGAAACGGUAGCUAAUACCGCAUACCAUCGGAUGUGCCCAGAUGGGAUUAGCUAGUAGGUGGAGUAACGGCUCACCUAGGCGACGAUCCCUAGCUGGUCUGAGAGGAUGACCAGCCACACUGGAACUGAGACACGGGCAAGACUCCUAAGUGAGGCAGCAGUGGGGAAUAUGGCACAAUGGGCGAAAGCCUGAUGCAGCCAGGCCGCGUGUAGGAAGAAGGCCUUCGGGUUGUAAAGUACUUUCAGCGAGGAGGCGUUACUCGCAGAAGAAGCACCGGCUAACUCCGUGCCAGCCGCCGCGGUAAUAC
rnacentral:rRNA from 1 species